GACGAACGCUGGCGGCGUGCCUAAUACAUGCAAGUCGAACGCAUUUUCUGUCAACGUAGCUUGCUACACCGAGAGAAAGUGAGUGGCGAACGGGUGAGUAACACGUGGGUAACCUGCCCAUCAGCGGGGGAUAACACUUGGAAACAGGAGCUAAUACCGCAUAAUUCCAUUUGCAGCAGGGCAUCUGGAUGAAAGGCGCUGUUGCGGCACUGAUGGAUGGACCCGCGGUGCAUUUGCUAGUUGGGGGGGUUAGGGGCUACCAAGGCUGUGAGACAUGGCCGGCCUUGGAGGGUGAUUGGGCAACCUUGGACUGGGACCAGGCCCCGACCUCUACGGGGGGCAGCCGUAGGGGAUCUUCGGCCAUUGACGCAAGUCUGACCCAGCAACGCCGCGUGAGUGGAGAAGGUUUUCGGAUUGUAAAACUCUGUUGUUUGGGAAGGACAAGGAUGAGGGUGGAAAGUUCAUCCCUUGACGGUAUCUAACCAGAAAGCCACGGCUAACUACGUG
rnacentral:rRNA from 1 species